rnacentral:rRNA from 1 species
CACGUAGGCGGCUCACCAAGCGUCUUGUGAAAGCCCUCGGCUUAACCGAGGAAUUGCUGGGCGAACUGGUGGGCUUGAGGUAGGUAGGGGCGCGUGGAACUCUUGGUGGAGCGGUGGAAUGCGUAGAUAUCAAGAGGAACGCCGGUGGCGAAGGCGACGCGCUGGGCCUAUCCUGACGCUGAGGUGCGAAAGCCAGGGGAGCGAACAGGAUUAGAUACCCUGGUAGUCC